GAUGAACGCUGGCGGCGUGCCUAAUACAUGCAAGUCGAACGCUGGAAAUCUAGCUUGCUAGAUUGAAGGAGUGGCGAACGGGUGAGUAAUACAUAAGCAACCUACCCACGAAGACUGGGAUAAUCUCUGGAAACGGGGACUAAUACCGGAUAGGUAAUCGGAAGGCAUCUUCUGAUUAUUAAAGGUUAAAAACACUGGUGGAUGGGCUUAUGGCGCAUUAGUUAGUUGGUGAGGUAACGGCCCACCAAGACGAUGAUGCGUAGCCGGCCUGAGAGGGUGAACGGCCACAUUGGGACUGAGACACGCCCCAGACUCCUACGGGAGGCAGCAGUAGGGAAUUUUCGGCAAUGGGGGAAACCCUGACCGAGCAACGCCGCGUGAGUGAUGACGGCCUUCGGGUUGUAAAGCUCUGUUGUAAGGGAAGAACGGUAGAUAGAGAAUAUCUAAAUGACGGUACCUUACCAGAAAGCCACGGCUAACUACGUG
rnacentral:rRNA from 1 species